rnacentral:rRNA from 1 species
GACGAACGCUGGCGGCGUGCUUAACACAUGCAAGUCGAACGGAAAGGCCCUGCUUUUGUGGGGUGCUCGAGUGGCGAACGGGUGAGUAACACGUGAGUAACCUGCCCUUGACUUUGGGAUAACUUCAGGAAACUGGGGCUAAUACCGGAUAGGAGCUCCUGCUGCAUGGUGGGGGUUGGAAAGUUUCGGCGGUUGGGGAUGGACUCGCGGCUUAUCAGCUUGUUGGUGGGGUAGUGGCUUACCAAGGCUUUGACGGGUAGCCGGCCUGAGAGGGUGACCGGCCACAUUGGGAAUGAGAUACGGCCCAGACGCCUACGGGAGGAAGGAGUGGGGAAUAUUGCACAAUGGGCGGAAGCGUGAUGCAGCAACGCCGCGUGCGGGAUGACGGCCUUCGGGUUGUAAACCGCUUUCGCCUGUGACGAAGCGUGAGUGACGGUAAUGGGGAAAGAAGCACCGGCUAACUACGU